GUUUGAUUGAUUUCGAUAUCACAUCUUACGAUUUAGAAUACUGAACAUAAUUUGAGAAUAAAUAAUAUUUAUAUAAUUCGACCUAUUCACUUAAGUCCGUAGAAACUAGAAAGAGACUAGAUUUUCUGAUAAACUUUAGUAUUCAAUAUAUCUGAUCCCUAAAAAUAUUAAAUUAUUAUUUUUUAAAUUCGGCCUAUGCUAU
rnacentral:lncRNA from 1 species